UAAUCUCACUACAUCAGCUUUUGUUGAUGGAGGUGGACCUGGACUCUGUUGUGUCAUUACAACUUGUCUGAAAUGUCUGAGUGCACCCUGCUGUUGCAGCGUCUUCAGUGUGAUAAGCAUCUUCACUGGAUCAAGUUCCUUUAGGACACGUGUGCAUUGUGGGCUCUGUGCUGGCAAACUGUCUUUGGACAACCUUGACAAU
rnacentral:misc_RNA from 1 species